CGGGAGGCAGCAGUGGGGAAUAUUGCACAAUGGAGGAAACUCUGAUGCAGCAACGCGCGUGGAGGAUGACGCAUUUCGGUGUGUAAACUCCUUUUAUAUGGGAAGAUAAUGACGGUACCAUAUGAAUAAGCACCGGCUAACUCCGUGCCAGCAGCCGCGGUAAUACGGAGGGUGCAAGCGUUACUCGGAAUCACUGGGCGUAAAGCGCGCGCAGGCGGCCUAUUAAGUUGGAUGUGAAAGCCUAUGGCUCAACCAUAGAACUGCAUCCAAAACUAUUAGGCUAGAGUCUGGGAGGGGAAGAUGGAAUUAGUUGUGUAGGGGUAAAAUCCGUAGAGAUAACUAGGAAUACCAAAAGCGAAGGCGAUCUUCUGGAACAGUACUGACGCUGAGGCGCGAAAGCGUGGGGAGCAAACAGGAUUAGAUACCCUGGUAGUCCACGCCCUAAACGAUGAAUGUUAGUCGUCGGGUAGCUAGUCUAUUCGGUGAUGCAGCUAACGCAUUAAACAUUCCGCCUGGGGAGUACGGUCGCAAGAUUAAAACUCAAAGGAAUAGACGGGGACCCGCACAAGUGGUGGAGCAUGUGGUUUAAUUCGAAGAUACGCGAAGAACCUUACCUAGCCUUGACAUAUAUUAGAACACUUUAGAGAUAGAGUGGUGCCUUCGGGAGCUUUUAUACAGGUGCUGCACGGCUGUCGUCAGCUCGUGUCGUGAGAUGUUGGGUUAAGUCCCGCAACGAGCGCAACCCUCGUCACUAGUUACUAACGGUUCGGCCGAGGACUCUAGUGAGACUGCCUUCGUAAGGAGGAGGAAGGUGAGGACGACGUCAAGUCAUCAUGGCCCUUACGGCUAGGGCAACACACGUGCUACAAUGGCCAGGACAAUGAGACGCGAUACCGCGAGGUGGAGCAAAUCUAUAAACCUGGUCUCAGUUCGGAUUGUAGUCUGCAACUCGACUACAUGAAGCUGGAAUCACUAGUAAUCGUAGAUCAGCUAUGCUACGGUGAAUACGUUCCCGGGUCUUGUACUCACCGCCCGUCACACCAUGGGAGUUGAUUUCACCCGAAGCGGGGAAGCUAAACUGGCUACC
rnacentral:rRNA from 1 species